GAUGAACGCUGGCGGCGUGCUUAACACAUGCAAGUCGAACGAAGCACUUUGGCGUUUUCGGACAAAGAAGUGACUGAGUGGCGGACGGGUGAGUAACGCGUGGGCAACCUGCCUUAUACAGGGGGAUAACAGUUAGAAAUGACUGCUAAUACCGCAUAACCCGAUAGAGUCGCAUGACUUAGUCGGAAAAGAUUUAUCGGUAUAAGAUGGACCCGCGUCUGAUUAGCUAGUUGGUGAGGUAAUGGCUCACCAAGGCGAUGAUCAGUAGCUGGUUCGAGAGGAUGACCAACCACACUGGGACUGAGAUACGGCCCAGACUCCUACGGGAGGCAGCAGUAAGGAAUCUUCCGCAAUGGACGAAAGUCUGACGGAGCAACGCCGCGUGCAGGAUGACGGCCUUCGGGUUGUAAACUGCUUUUAUAUGGGAAGAUUGUGACGGUACCAUAUGAAUAAGGACCGGCUAACUACGUGCCAGCAGCCGCCGUAAUAC
rnacentral:rRNA from 1 species